CCAACACGCAUGAUUGGCGCUCAGCGUUGCUGUUUCAAUCAGCAACUUCUUGAUGGACCUAAUGCAUGGUUUUCAUAAAUUAAACACAGGCCUGCCACUUGGCAGCUGAUCCACUUUUCAUGGCUGAUUAAUUAGCUUGACCGAGCAUGACAUUAUUAUAAAUAUCAUGGUCCAUCAUUGUAGAGACACUUUUAAGGAAAUGAAUGUGGUUCUUCUAUUGAGAAAACUCAAGAGCACUCUUCUCACUUUGAAAGUCACGGCUAAGGAUUUCGAAAAGGUCUCCUCUAGCCACCUUCCAAUCAUCCCCGAGGCAUUCUCUUCUUCCAAUCCUUCAUUUACCGUUGCAAUUACAGUUUUCUUCAUCUCAUGAAUCACUUGUUCACUUGUUCCGCUGCGUGUUCUUCCUUUACACCGCUUCAAUUUCAUUCUGUUGCGUUCACAAAUCAUGUUUUCUGACGAGCCAAGGUCAUCGCUUUGUCAUCAAAUGGUAGUCAGAGCUCAAGUUGCGAGCAUGCGUUAGAGAUAAGUAUCUCUAGUGUUGUUCCGUGGUGUUCAUGAACUGUUCGAUUAAAUGUCUAUAAGAGUUAAUCUGAGUUAGUUCUAUUUUAAUAAUCAUUUCUAUUUUGGAUAUUCAAAUCUACAUGCUCAUUCAUGAAUCUCUUGCCCACGUUAGGAAUUCCAGUUCUGUGAUUAUGGUUUGUGAGUAUUAUUCAGUCUUCUUUCAUUUUAAUUGGCGGAUUUGCUUGUUUGAGCUUUUAGUUUGAAAUCUUAUUCAGUUGUGUUUAAGUCAUGUUGUUUGCUUCAAUUGUCAAAGUAUCGCAAGUUUUAACUGGUUGAUUUUCUGUUUUUUCAAUUUGAAUUUUUGAUUUGCGAAGUCUGCACACCAAUUGAGCCCUAAAACUCCUAUGAGAGAGCUCGGUGGCCACUAGCAGUGAAUCUGCUCAACUAAGUUUCACCGAAUUAGCUUAUCUUUGAGCCAUUUUUUAGGAAAAAUCUGUUUGACGUGCCUACUUUCAUUCGACAGCCUUAAUUUUUUUUUGCUUGUCACUUUUAUUGCAACUCUUUCGUCCUGUCAAACUUCAAUUCUGCUAUUUGGUUUAACUUUUUUUUGUUUUUAAAUUGUGAGUUUCUUGCUUUAUUCCUUGGUUGUCCUGGGUUUUUUUGGUGUGAUUUGAAAACUGCAGAACAGCUUUGGAAGAAGAAAGCUUGAGAUUGGUAGCAUAUUAGGUGGUAGUGACCUUUAAGAAUCUGUAGACGUGGUCUGUCAAAGCUGAAGUACCACUAAAUUGAUCAUUUUAAAAGCCAAAACAGCAACGUGAUUAUCAGUUUUGAGAGACAUGCACUGCUUCUUUAAUUCAAACACCGCACUCAAGAGAUAGCAAACUCCAAACAAUAGAGAGCAUACUAGUUUUGAGAGAAUUGUGUGGCUAUGUUACCCUAACUUUUCCUAGUGUGGUUGUUGGUUGUGUAGAAUUGUCUUGGAAGAAGUUCUCUAUCUAGUGGUAGCAUCUUAGGAAGUGGGAGCUUUCAAGAAUCUCAGUUCCAGAAGACUGCAAAUGACCAAAUUGGUGAGAGUUGAUAGCAAAACAGUAAGAGAAAAGCACUACAGCAGAAUGCAGCUGUCCAUGAGUUGAAAAUAGCUUGUAAGCCAGGAUCAAAAUCAACAAUAUGCAAUUUGGUCUGAUAGCAACAACAACAUGGGAUAUCUUGAUGAAAUUUGAGAGUAAUACAGGAGAAAGAAGAGUCAAACAGCAGAAAGUUCUGGACAUAAAAUGUGAAAUCAGAGAGAGUGUGGCUAAUUCUGAAAUUUGUUUUAGUUGUAAAAUUUCUUUUGUUUUUUUUUUAAAGGCCUUUCAUACCAAGUGAAGAAACUUGUGAGUUAAAAGCUUGCAUGUGAAGAAACUUUGUUCCUCAUUCAUUUGAGAAAAUCCAAUAGUUUUAAAGAAGAAAAGGAAUUCAUUAAAGGUUUAGAUGAGUUUUCUCGUAAGGAAGCUGAGUUUGAAGAAAAAUUUGAAAUGCUCUUGAGUGAGAAAAAAAAAAGAGAGAUCGGAA
rnacentral:sRNA from 1 species